CUUUGGAAAGUAAAAAAAUUGUAGAAUUCCUAUAGCAUUUAGGUCCAUUCCUUUAAGCAAAAGAAGAAUCUUCACCCACCCCCUAAGUGAGAGACAAAAAGUAGUAAUGGAAAAAUGUUUCACUCAUCACUAGAUUAAAGUUCUAAGGGGUUAAACAAUCCCAUUUUCUCAAUUACUGAAUAAACACAGAAUAUUUGCACAUACUGCUAGCCCAUAGAUACCAAGUUUGUCUGGAAUCAUCACAUAGGAAAUCCUUUACCAGCUCUCCUGAUUCUUCUAACUAAACUCUGCGUGUAAGAGUGAUAUCUUAAUAUAUUUGCUUGUGGGAUGUGUCUGCUUUGGCUCAAUAGUGAUAACUUAAUAUAUUUGCUUGUGGGAUGUGUCUGCUUUGGCUCAAGAUAGAGUGCUUCAUCCAAUGCAUGUUUUUGAGCGUCAUGAAAGUGUGGUUAAUGAUGUGACGUGGCAUUCGAAGAACGAGAAUCUGUUUGGGUCUGUUGGGGACGAUUGUCAAUUUGAUGAUAUGGGACUUGAGAACAAAUCAAGCCCAAGACCCUGUCAAAGUUCAUGAGAAAGAGCAUCUUCAGACACUACUGUGGGUCUGUUUGAUAUGCGGAAGCUGACGGUAUGCUCUCAGUGGCCACACAGCAAAGAUAUCAGAUUUCUCAUGGAACAAAGAAGUUCCAUGGCUCGUUUCAAGUGUAGCCGAAGACAACACUCUCCAGGUCUGGCAAAUUGCUGAUGGCAUUUACGGUGACGAUGAUGUGCAAGAAGGGGAAACUUCUGAUGUCUGAUGAUGAUAUAUCUGGAAUUCUCAACCUAUGUUUUGUUGUUGCAAUCUUCGUUCCUUUUGAGUUGUAAGCUCUUGGUAGGAGCUGUUUUAAAA